rnacentral:rRNA from 1 species
GACGUAGGAGGCGAGCGUUGUCCGGAUUCAUUGGGCGUAAAGAGCGCGCAGGCGGCUUGGUAAGUCGGAUGUGAAAUCCCGAGGCUCAACCUCGGGUCUGCAUCCGAUACUGCCCGGCUAGAGGUAGGUAGGGGAGAUCGGAAUUCCUGGUGUAGCGGUGAAAUGCGCAGAUAUCAGGAGGAACACCGGUGGCGAAGGCGGAUCUCUGGGCCUUACCUGACGCUGAGACGCGAAAGCGUGGGGAGCGAACGGG